CUUAACACUGCCAAAAUUAUAGAAGAAGAAGAAGAAGAAGAUCAGGAAGGGCAGAAUCUUGACGGCAGACGAAGAAUAUUACGCCAGUGUGUUCAUUUUAAACAGCCAAAUACGCAACUAAAGCUCAACGCCUAAGGUACGCUCUGGCAGACAUGUCAUACGACAAAGCAGAGACCUACCGCCCUGUCCCCCGGGACUUCAACACCCUCAUACAGACAUGCAGCUCCAACAUCCA